rnacentral:lncRNA from 10 species
GAAGGGGCUCUUGGCCAUAGGUGGAAUUAAGAAAUCUGGCAAAAAGUAAGCUGUUCCUUGUGCCUGAGGAGAUGGUGACCCUUUAUUUCAUCUGUAUUUAAACCUCUCUAUUCCCUGCCAUAACAUCUUUUGCCACGUAUAGCUGGAAUUAAGUGUUGUCUUGGAGCUGUUGUACAUUUAAGAAUAAACUUUUGUAAAAAUAAAUAAAUAAAUAAAAAAUAAACUUAACUUCCUAGUAAAGCAAC